GGAGUACUCCCUACGUUCCAAAAUACUUGACUUACAUUUGUCCAAAAAUGGAUAUACCUAUAUACUAAAACAUGUCUAGAUACAUCUAUAUUUUGACAAAUGAAAGGCAUGUAUUAUGGAACGGAGGGCGUACAUA
rfam:Triticum aestivum genome assembly, contig: Triticum_aestivum_CS42_TGACv1_scaffold_061618_1DL